rnacentral:rRNA from 1 species
GUGCACCAGGCGCGAAUCCUCCGCAAUGCGGGAAACCGCGACGGGGGGACCCCGAGUGCCGUGGCAACGCCACGGCUUUUCCGGAGUGUAAAAAGCUCCGGGAAUAAGGGCUGGGCAAGGCCGGUGGCAGCCGCCGCGGUAAUACCGGCGGCCCGAGUGGUGGCCGCUAUUAUUGGGCCUAAAAGCGUCCGUAGCCGGGCCCGUAAGUCCCUGGCGGAAAUCCCACGGCUCAACCGUGGGGCUUGCUGGGGAUACUGCGGGUCUUGGGACCGGGAGAGGC